GUGGACAGCUGCAAAAGCAACAAAAUGUUGCCAGUUUUUCUGCAGAAAAACCGACCUCAUGAGGUCGGUUAUCUUAAUAUCAUUUUCCAGAUUUUUAAGAAACCAACCUCAUGAAGUCGGUUGUGUUCAUAUCAUUUUCCAGAUUUUAAAGAAACCGACCACAUGAGGUCGGUAAAUAAAUUACAUUUUGGAGAAACCGACCUCAUUAGGUCGGUUCCUAAUAAUCACUAUUCAUAAAUUUAUAAUUACCGACCACAUAUGGUCGGUUUUCUUAAGAAAAAAUAUAUAUUAACCUAAUAUUCCAACCACAUGUAGUCGGUAACACAAAAAAAAAAAAAACAACAAAAUUUCAAUAUAUCGACCACAUGAGGUUGGUAUUUUAAAAAAUAAACGAAAAAUAAUAUAAUUUUUCCGACCUCACGUGGUCGCUAAUACUUUUGUCGAUUUUUUUUUUUUUUAAUAUAGUGAUCUCAUGAGGUCGGUAUAUUAAUUUUCUUUUAUUUUUGGCCGAAUUGCUUACCGACCACAUGAGGUCAGUAAGAAUAUGCGACCUGCUCUUUCCGGACCUACUGAUGAGGUUGGUUUUGAGGUCUCAUUUUUUUCAAAAUCGACCUCAUGAGGUCGGAAAAAAUGAUUUUUUAAGGUCGCUUUUCAGCAGGUUUUUGGUAGUCUAGUUCUUGAUUAUGUUUUAUUUUUAACGCAUUAAUUAAAAUAAAGAAAGAGAAAUGAAAUCAAUACUUCUUGUGGCGACUUGCGAAAUUCCUGUCAAGGCCAAAUUCGUAAGAGUCUAUAUGAUCCAAGUUAUGCUGAGAAAGGUCAACCAGUGAAUCCUGUCUUACGCUCUCUGCAGUUGAACCUAGACUUGACAAUAAUGAAGGUAACAACUAUGGAACAGACUGAGCCGGCUAGAGAUUUGAAGAUUCAUUUUGAAAAUAUAAAGAACAAAUGACGGUUCAUGAUGAAUAUUUUUAUUUUUUUUGUUUUGUUCAUUUUUUCCAAUUACUCCAUGCUACUUAGCUUGUAAAACUGUGCUACUUAGCUCGUAAAACCAUCAAUAGCUACUCCUCUAAGGAUAGAAGUUCAGACCUUUUGAGUCUAGUUGA